UACAGAGGUGGCAAGCGUUGUUCGGAAUUACUGGGCGUAAAGGGCGCGUAGGCGGUCAGCACAAGUCAGUUGUGAAAUCUCCGGGCUUAACCCGGAAAGGUCAACUGAUACUGUGCGACUAGAGUGCGGGAGGGGCAACUGGAAUUCUCGGUGUAGCGGUGAAAUGCGUAGAUAUCGAGAGGAACACCUGCGGCGAAGGCGGGUUGCUGGGCCUGAUCUGACGCUGAGGCGCGAAAGCGUGGGGAGCAAACAGG
rnacentral:rRNA from 1 species